rnacentral:rRNA from 1 species
GAUGAACGCUGGCGGCGUGCCUAAUACAUGCCAGUCGAGCGAACAGACGAGGAGCUAGCUCCUCUGACGUUAGCGGCGGACGGGUGAGUAACACGUGGAUAACCUACCUAUAAGACUGGGAUAACUUCGGGAAACCGGAGCUAAUACCGGAUAAUAUAUUGAACCGCAUGGUUCAAUAGUGAAAGACGGUUUUGCUGUCACUUAUAGAUGGAUCCGCGCCGCAUUAGCUAGUUGGUAAGGUAACGGCUUACCAAGGCAACGAUGCGUAGCCGACCUGAGAGGGUGAUCGGCCACACUGGAACUGAGACACGGUCCAGACUCCUACGGGAGGCAGCAGUAGGGAAUCUUCCGCAAUGGGCGAAAGCUUGACGGAGCAACGCCGCGUGAGUGAUGAAGGUCUUCGGAUCGUAAAACUCUGUUAUUAGGGAAGAACAAAUGUGUAAGUAACUAUGCACGUCUUGACGGUACCUAAUCAGAAAGCCACGGCUAACUACGUG